GUCCCGCGUGGUGUAGUGGCUAACGCUCAUAUCUUAGAAUUUUUCGGCGCGGGUUCGAUUCCGGCCGGGGUCA